AUUACUUGGUACUUACUAUGUUACUACUUACUGUGUACUGCUUCAGUAUAUUACUUAUAACUACUAUGAAAAACACCACAAAUCUAGUUGAAUAAUUCAAUUUUAGUUAUUUAUUUUUAUUACUGUAAUACAGUUGUAUGCUAGCAGUAAGUACAAUUCAUUAUGGUUGAUCUAAAUAUGUUAGAGAACUUUUCAUUAUUGAUUCCAAGCAAAGAUUUUAAAACUUGGAAAGGCCAUAUAUUGUUAAGUGUACAUAGUAUUUACGUAGAGAUAUCUUGCCCUAAUAUGCCAUUACUUGACAAUUUAAAAAUUAAAAUUCCAGAAUUUGAAGCCUUCAGUUUUUGUCAAUUUGAUUUGAAUGAAAAUGUAGAAAUCAUUAAACAGAAAACUCAUUCAUUGCCAGAAUUUUUAAAGGAAUUAAUUCCAGUUUUGGUAAAAGUUUGGAAAGAAGAUCCUUCCACAAACUCGAGAAACUUGAGCUAUGUUGAUGAAAAGUUCUAUUCUUUGAUUCAAGAAGUCAAUUUAUAUGGUCAAUUUGUGCAUGAAAUUGACGAAAAUCUAAAACACAUUACAUUUAAUGUUUUAGAUAUGUGUAAGCACAAUCAUUUUAUAAAAAUUCUUAUACCUGAGGAAUAUCCCAUGGUUAAAAAACAACCAUUAUGUUUUGAAACUAUAAUUCCAUCAGUUGGUCUGAACUUACUUUUAAAGAUGAACACUAUAACAAACUUAUUUGAAAUGUUUAAGAAGGUCGUUAAUGAAUUCAAUAAUUUUUGGAAUGUGUACAACGAAAUAAUUACAACCUGUAAUACUAUAGGAUCUUAUACUUUUAAAGAUGUUAAUUAUAGAAUACCUAUUGAUAGUCAUGUAUGUGUUGAGGUUGAAGUUGAUCCAUUAAAUCCUUUGAACUGCCCUAAAUUUAAUCUUCAUGGUCUUCCAGCUUCUAUUGAGAAGUUUCAAGAAAGAUUAAAUGAAAUUAAUCCAAGUUUGAUUUGGAGUACUGAAAACAGUUUUAAAGAAAAUAUUCUGAAUGUAUUUCAAGUUGCUACACUUCAGUUACAAUACAAAGAAGAUAACUCAGAACAUUGUAUUGCAAGUCAAAAUGAUUUGAUUUGUUGUAUAUGCUACGAUCAAUUAGAUACAACUAUAAAAAAACAAACAAAAUCAUGUGUUAAUGAUAAAUGUGACGCAUUGUAUCAUAUGUCAUGUAUCUGUGAGUGGUUACUGAAUUCUGGUAGUACACCAAUGUUUGAACAUUUGCAAGGAAAAUGUCCUCAAUGUGAAGAAGACAUGCUGGUAGCUUUGGAAAAUUUUGAUUUGAUUAAAACUUGAAUUUAUGCAGUAUAAUAUUUGGAAAUAUUCUGAGAAAAAUAUUAAAAACAGUGAAUUCUCAAAUCAUCAGUCAAAACACAUGUCACUUGACAUUGAUUACGAAAAUUCAAACAAAAAAAUAUAUGAAUAUCACAUGAAGACUACAUGAUAAUGAUAAUACAUAGUACUUUUAUUCCUGCUAAUUUUGAACCAUCUCUAAAGUUGAUCUCAUUUUUAAAAGUAUUGAAAGUAAAAUAAAGAACAAAUUAUGAACUUCAAACAACAAUAAUAAUGUUACUCCACUAAUAUUGAACAUAAAUGCUAAUGAAUACUAUGGAGAUUCUAUCAAUUAAUUAUGCUACGCAAAUAUGUACAAAUUUCAAAUAUGGGGUUAAACAUCUUUAAGGUGGUCUAGUUGUUAAGACUAUUUGAAAAAUAUGUUUUAAAGGAAAAGAAACAUUUUUUAAUCUAAGAAGCUGUGAUUUUAUAAAUUAUCAAGAAAAACAAAAUUUGAUAUAGUUUAUUAUAGUCUUCUUAUAGUUUAAUAAUUUGAUGUUGUUAUUUAUUAAUACAUGUAUACAUAAAGCAAUUAUGUAUAGAAAUUACCAGUUUUUAACAUUAUAUUCAAAUAUUAAUUUAUUAUAUCUAUAUGUUAUAAUUUAUAUUUAGUUAAUAUAAUUUUUUUUAUAAAAAUGAUUCUAAUUGUAAAAAAACAAGUUGAAAAUUGAAUUAUUCAGUAUUCCUUACAUUUUUUUCCUGCAGCAGUUGAUAUGAUUUUUGCUAUGCCUAUAUAUAUAUAUAUAUUGUAUUAUUGUAAUAAUGAAUGAUGUUAAUAUAUAUGUUGUCUCUAUGUUACAAGAAUGUAACAUAUCAAAUUUAUGCUCAGCAGAACACGUUUAGCUCCACCAGUUUAAAAAUUAGAGUGAAUUGGCCUAUUAUGAAACUUGAUGGUAAGAAAAUUAUCUGUGUUUGUAUGUUGGUUUUUACAAUAGUUCAAUUUUUUAGCAAGUUUUGCAUAUAUAACAUAGCGUAAAUUAAAAAUGCUCAUAGCUCGCUUAAAAACUUAAUAAUCGUAAAAAACCAACAUACAAACACAGAUAAUGUUAUUACCAUAAAGUUUCAUUAUAUGUUGAUUCACUCUAAUUUUUAAACUAACGGAGCUUAACGUGAUCUGCUGAGCAUAAAUUUGCUAUGUUACGUACUUGUAAGACGGCGAUAACACAUGCUGGUGUUGCAGCCUCUUAAAUUAUAUUAAAAUACCGCUUUACAUUUUUCAAUCAUUUUUUUAAUGUAAAUAUCUUCAUUAGCUUAUUAUUACUUAAUAUGAUUAUAUUUUCAAUUUUCUUUCAUCGAUAUUCAAUACUUAUAUAAUUGUUUAUAUUGUAUGGCAUAGUAUAAUAACCAUAUUUAAUACAUGCUGAUUUUUUACUUAUGAUUUAUAAAUUGAAUUAUAUAACCUUUGGUUGCAAUAUUGUACUACUUAUCCAAUAUUUUUUUUAUAUGAAUAACUAUUACUAAAUUUGUAUAUUAUACAUUUGUAUGUAAUAAUUAGUAAACGUUGUAUAGAAUUAUUAAUAAUUUA